GAAUAACUUUAGCCUAAGUUUUUAACGCGGGGAACCCAAAAUAUUGGGGUGAAUCGUUUUUACGUAGGUUAACCUUUUCCGAACCCGUCAGCUAACCCCGUUGGCAAAAGGAGGAUUA
rnacentral:sRNA from 2 species